rnacentral:rRNA from 1 species
UCUGACAACUCUAGAGAUAGAGCGUUCCCCUUCGGGCGACAGAGUGACAGGUGGUGCAUGGUUGUCGUCAGCUCGUGUCGUGAGAUGUUGGGUUAAGUCCCGCAACGAGCGCAACCCUUGAUCUUAGUUGCCAGCAUUUAGUUGGGCACUCUAAGGUGACUGCCGGUGACAAACCGGAGGAAGGUGGGGAUGACGUCAAAUCAUCAUGCCCCUUAUGACCUGGGCUACACACGUGCUACAAUGGAUGGUACAAAGGGCUGCAAGACCGCGAGGUCAAGCCAAUCCCAUAAAACCAUUCUCAGUUCGGAUUGUAGGCUGCAACUCGCCUACAUGAAGCUGGAAUCGCUAGUAAUCGCGGAUCAGCAUGCCGCGGUGAAUACGUUCCCGGGCCUUGUACACACCGCCCGUCACACCACGAGAGUUUGUAACACCCGAAGUCGGUGGAGUAACCGUAAGGAGCUAGCCGCCUAAGGUGGGACAGAUGAUUGGGGUGA